rnacentral:lncRNA from 1 species
UUUAUUUCGUAAAGGGGUGUGACAUGAUUUAAACUAUAGUGUAAGAGAAUCAUUAAAUUAAUUGGUUUUGAAAUCUAUUAAGCCUAGCCAAACAUGUCCUUAGUGGGAGUUAUGGGCAGUUAAUCCAUGAUGGGUAACUGACCAUAAUGCGCGUCAGUUCCUUUCCUUUAGACGUAUUCUUUUCUUUCAUUUGCUACUAAGUCAGGAAAAAACAACACUGAGAGCUAGAGAGAUUAUAGAGAGAAUUCAG